GAUACGGUGGUCUAGCGGUUAGAACGCUGGCCUUGUAAUCCUGGGGUCUCGGGUUCGAUUCCCGGCGGUCCCC
rnacentral:tRNA from 1 species